UGCCUUCAAAAGAACUUUUUUUUUAUUAUUAUUAUUUAGAAAUGCAGUUAUAUACAGAGAACAAUUAAAAUUAAAUUAAACUUUGUACAAAUAUUAAAAUACUAUCGUCACACCCACUGCAAUGUACAGGAUACCAAAAAAUAUAUAUAUAAAAUAAAAUAAAGCAAACCCAAACUGAUUGGGUGACAUCCUGCACAGUCAAUGAUGCGCGUGUCAUGUGAAACUGUUGCUGAGGUUCCAUAGUGGCGUGAUGAGCCGCCAGGCCACCCUCAACCCUCUCUUCUCCCUGCAUGAUGGUCCAAGUGCUUUGCCCAGGCACAUCCCCCAGCUCCUAGCACAGGGCUCAACCUUGGGGUUCUUGUUCAAAAUUCUACUAGAUUUUCAACUGGCGGUUAAGAGGAGUUGCUUCCCAGGAAAGCUGAGCCUGCCCUUCACUCUCUGGGGAACUGGCUACUCUACCACUCGGUCUACAAACCUGCCACACAAAAUCCUCUCCGAGCCCCUCACCGGACUCCAGUAACAACAGGCCUUGUGCUGAAGGCCAGGAGCCCCGGCAGGCUUCAGGGAAGCUCCUGGACUCUGUCCUCAGCAAGCACAUCUGGAAUGAAGCUGUCAAGUGCUAGGGCUCCUGUGCCACCACUGACUUAGCAGGAAAAGUAUACCUUUGUCUGGCCAUCAGCUUCUCCAUGAAGCUUCAUGGCUGGCAGGAAGAAUGGGGAUGAGACAGGAGUUAAGUUCUGUUUGCAAAUGGAGUGUUGGGAGGAUGUACGUUGAAAUGCCUUAUAAAACCAGAAGAACUCACAAAGUGGCCAGGACUUGGCCCAUUUCACAGUUCACACCCAGUGAAAUGGGAACACAGCACACAAAACUCAAAAAUGGCAAAAGAUAGAGCCUACCUGCUGAACUAAGGCAUUGAAAAUGUUAGAAAAUUUAAGUGAUUUUUCACCAUAUACUGGCCCUUGAAAGUCACUGGAAUGUGACUGCAAGUUGCCAAGAUAUAAAACCUACAUUGAGUCAGCCCGUGUACGCAAAUAAAAAGAAAAAAACGCUUCUUAAAAGUCCUUUGGUGCCAACUGUUCUCCUGUACAAGUCCUCUGCUGGGUUCCCCUAGAGG
ensembl:lncRNA